UAGCAAAGUAAGAGAUAAUCUAAAGGUAUAAUUGCCACACACCCAUGGGCGCCUCGCAGCGUAUCCACACUAGCAACCUGUCACGCGCUCGUAGGGGGCCAGCCCGCGCCGUUGUAUCUGGGGACAAGCCCCGCGUCAAUCCGGGCCGCUCGUCCCUGGAACAAAAUAGACACGGACGAAAACCUAGCCCCAAGCCCAAUCCCCUCACUUCCUCCUCCCCAAUCGGUUGGCCUCCUCCUCCCCCAAUCGAGCCUCGGCCCGUCGCCGCCGCCGCUGCCCCCGCGUUCAUCCCAACCGUGCCUCGUUUCGUCGCCGCCGCCGACUCUUCUCCGUCGAGGAAGCAGGCGAGGAGCAUGACGAGGAGGCGUGCGGAAAGGGCGCCACCAGGUCAUCGACAAGCGCCCCCCGCUCUCAGCGCCGUCCGCCUGCGCGUCUCUGGCGAGAGGAGGGCGCCGCCGUUACGAGCACGACCAGGAGGCGCGCAUCGUUGCGCACUGGGAGGACGGGCCAGGCCGUCGACGAGCGUAUGGAGGCAGGGCUCUGCCAGCGCGUCAAUGUUGCCUCGUCACCGAAUGGAAGGAGGACUACGAGGGGUCUUCUUCUACAUGUUCUUAUUAAUCUCAGUGUUUUGGAGAGGUUGGGGGUAUGGCUGCUGCAGAUACGGACUUUCCUUGAAGGAUGCUUUUUUUUCCUUUUGGUUUUACACGUAAUCAUCAAUCUAUAUUUGUGUACUGUAUUUAGUUCUUGCUGAUAUAGGGCUGAGAUUGCAGGUGUUUGCAGCAGGGUUUUUGUCAUUUUGUCACAAAAGAGAAGCCUAGCCCAAGCCUCACAAAUCCCUGGUCACUUGAGAUAAGAUGGUAUGCAACAUACACACUAUGAGUAUGUUGUUUCUUGAAUCCGGUGGUGUGGUGCGGUACGUUGAUUCAGCCCCACCGUGUCACCUGAAUGGAUUGGAUUCUUUGGUUGUCAUUAGGUUCGGGGCUUGGACCUCAUUGUUCAGCUUGAAUUUAAGUCGGGCCAACUUGAUGAAUUGCUCGUGGGAAUGGUUCAGGUUCAUACUUGCACACACAAUCCUCUUGCUUGCUAUAUAUAUCUCAGAUAUGAGGUACCCAUGUUCUUCCCCUUUUUGCAACGCAAUUCAUCUAAUGUGUUCCGGUUAGAGAUUGGAGGGGGGCACGGCUGAUUCAGGACAAUUGUGUGUCCGUUACUUCCUCGGACGGGGGAAGUUUAGUUUCAAAGAUACUUGGAGGGCCGAGGAACUUGAACGAGUCCUGGCACAUAUAUUGAAGAUCUGUUGCGUAAGUAUGAGGUAAAUCUCUCUUGAACUAUUUCCUUGAGUGGCAUAAUAUAAUAGUCUUACAUUUUGGUCUCUGCAUUACUUUUCAGUUGCUUGCACUAAUGUUGGAUUCCUUUUCUCUCAUAAGUACAAUAUAUAGUACAAGAGCCUCAUAUUCUGUUUUCUGCAUUACUUUGUUGUCUCCACAAUCUGCCAAUGUUGAUAGAACGAUUCUUAUUUAGAAACAAUGAAUAGUUUGUUGUACUGAAUUUCUCGGUUUUUGUUGUCAUUUGCUUAAAAUGUGUGUAUCUGAAAGGAGUGCACAUACAUGGGUUUCAGCCUUUCAGUAGAGAGAACCUCAGAUUUAAUUUCUACGGUAAUAAUUGCUUUACCAAGGUGUCAUAAAUAAUCUUAAAUAAAUAUGCCACUUUACUUGCAUGUUUUAUUAAUUAUAUUGUACUACCUCUGUCUAUAAAUAGAUGUCUAAGAUUUAUCUAAAGUUAGAUGUAUCUAUACACUAUUUAGUGUCUAGAUUCAUGCAAAUUUAGACAAACUUUGGACAUCUAUUUAUAGACGGAGGGAGUAGUAUAACUAUCCUAAUUGUCUAUACCACUUUUACAAUAUAAAUCUGCACUGAAACAAGUAUUUUUUCCUUAUUACAUGACAUCUAUUAAUUGAUACUGAGUAUGCAGGAAUAUUCAAUAUUCAUCCAAGCUAUAAGUGUUCUAUUUUGUUUCCUAGACAAAUGGUUGGAUGUCAGAAGUUGUAUUGUCCUAUUAGGCAUCCAGUGGGGUAGUGGGGUAGUCGAGGCGGUAGGCCUGGAUGAAGCGCGGGAUGGUGACGACCCUGGCGAGGGAGGAGAGGGAGUUGAACUGGGAUAUGAGCUUGAGGAAUCGCGUACGUACAGGGCACCCCCAUAAUGCCACCACACUGUGGCCGUCAACUCCCUCUACAGCCACACGUUUCACCCACUUGGUCCAAGUAGAGGAAAAGAAGGAGAGAGGAACAAGGUACAAAGUUCUUUUUGUCACCACAAAGAUGUUCGAGGAAAUGCCCCUUUUGGUUCCUCCUUGAUGAUGCAGACCUGAAUGGGUUUUUCUGUUUGACUCUGAGAUCCUGUCACGUAUUGACUCAAAGUGCAAACUUCAUGGGAUCAUGUGCCAAGGCAGUCAUAAAAAUCUGGAGGUUGGGGCUUCACCAUCCGAAAUGACCAGGGUGCAUUACUGGCAGUCGGUGCAGGCAAUCUGGAACAUGUCGCUAACCCGCCACAUGCGGAAGCUCUAGCUUUAUAGAAAGCUAGCAUCGUCAUUUAAAUUGGGAUGCCAAACUGAUUCUGAAGCAAGCCAUUUCAAGUGAGGAAUAUGAUCUCAAUAAAUUAGGUACUUUUAAAUUUUCAAAUGAGAGUUGGUCUAAAUGUUUUCUGGACUUUAGUUGCGCAUGGAUGCUUUAUUGGGAGUGGCCUUAUAGAGACUUGGCUGAGCCAAUUCUCUUAAUUUGUUUCAAACAUUGUUGCUCGUGAUGCCCAACAUGAUGUAGUAAUGGAAUGGACCAGUGUUUAUUUUUUUAUGUAAAUGUGUC